CAAGCCCUCCCAGGGGGCAAGGCCCUUGAAGUGGCUCUAUUUUUCAUCUUCUCCCCCAGGACAGGGACCUCUCAAAGGUCAGGGCUUAUCAUCAAGAACCUUCAGGAGGAGCUGCGCUCCCUCUGAAACUUCCCUUCUCAUUUCCCUUCCAUUCUGCAGACUGGCUGAUGUUUGCUGGUCUUUUGAGAAAUGUCAAGAGAUCACUGCAGAAGGGUCCCUGGGAGGUGCAGAAGGGUCCCUGGGAGGUGCAGAAGGGUCCCUGGGAGGUACAGACAGGUCCCUGGGAGGCUUGGGGCAGAAGGUUCUCCUCAGAGAAGGAAUAUACUUCCUGGCAGCUCUUGCCCAGAUGGCCUCCCCCUCUGUACUCAUUUCUCUUUUGAUUAAAAACAAACAAAUAAACCACAA